GACGAACGCUGGCGGCGUGCUUAACACAUGCAAGUCGAACGGAAAGGCCCUGCUUUUGUGGGGUGCUCGAGUGGCGAACGGGUGAGUAACACGUGAGUAACCUGCCCUUGACUUUGGGAUAACUUCAGGAAGCUGGGGCUAAUACCGGAUAGGAGCUCCUGCUGCAUGGUGGGGGUUGGAAAGUUUCGGCGGUUGGGGAUGGACUCGCGGCUUAUCAGCUUGUUGGUGGGGUAGUGGCUUACCAAGGCUUUGACGGGUAGCCGGCCUGAGAGGGUGACCGGCCACAUGGGGACUGAGAUACGGCCCAGACUCCUACGGGAGGCAGCAGUGGGGAAUAUUGCACAAUGGCGGAAGCCUGAUGCAGCAACGCCGCGUGCGGGAUGACGGCCUUCGGGUUGUAAACCGCUUUCGCCUGUGACGAAGCGUGAGUGACGGUAAUGGGUAAAGAAGCACCGGCUAACUACGUG
rnacentral:rRNA from 1 species